CCUACGGGAGGCAGCAGUGGGGAAUCUUGCGCAAUGGCCGAAAGGCUGACGCAGCGACGCCGCGUGUGGGAUGACGGCCUUCGGGUUGUAAACCACUGUCGGAAGGGACGAAUGGCCCGCAAGGGCAGUGACGGUACCUUCAAAGGAAGCACCGGCUAACUCCGUGCCAGCAGCCGCGGUAAUACAGAGACCUCAAGCNUUAUCCGGAUUUAUUGGGCGUAAAGGGUGUGUAGGCGGCAAUGAUAGUCAGAUGUUAAAUUUCAGCGCUCAACGUUGAAGCUGCAUCUGAAACGUCAUAGCUAGAGGCAAGUAGAGGUUCAUGGAACAUAUGGUGUAGCAGUGAAAUGCGUUGAUAUCAUAUGGAACGCCAAAGGCGAAGGCAGUGAACUGGGCUUGCUCUGACGCUGAGACACGAAAGCGUGGGUAGCGAAUGGGAUUAGAUACCCCGGUANUC
rnacentral:rRNA from 1 species